AAUCCGACUGCACCAUAAAAAAAGUGAGUUUGCACAUAGGCCUUCUUUUUCUUGUAGCUUCGGCUAAAAGACACAGACAAAGAAUAAGAACUAGCCUUUCUGAGCUGUGUGUGAUAAGGGAAAUUGUGGCUGGGAUCCUCCAGGGGAGGCUCCUUGAGAGAGGGGUGCCCCUGAGGCCGUGAUAAGUUCUUUCUCCCCAGUCCUUUCUCAAAUCAGGUAACUCACGUCAGGCUAAGCAAGCCCAUCAAGCAGAAGGCUAGAUGUUUUGUCAUGGCUCUAUUCUUGAGAUGAGUUUCCAUUUUAUUUCUGUUUAUUAUUUUAGACAAAUAGAAUUUUUUAUUGAAACCAAUUUAAAUGUAAGUGUGUAAGUUUUUACCACAAAUGUCUAUUAUUUAAUGAUUAUUUUAAAAAUUCAAUGCCCCCCCCAAAAAAAAAGAAAAAGAAAAAAGAGGUGUUUGGGACCGUUCCAGGUACUUUUACUGGAAGCCUCUUUGCCACAAGCUGCAUGACGAACCGGCUGUGAGGCAAUUUUGUCACAAAAGAUAAAGUAACUGGGUGACAGUUUUUGAUUUGACAGUUGGAUUUCAGCUGGUGGAAACAUGUUAAUAUUUCUUCCGGUUAGUGGCGUGGUGGAUGGCUUUAGCCAACUGACAGACGAUAAAGCUGGUGUCUUGUUUUGAAACACACAACGUUGAAGGCAAAAGAGGUUGAGGGCCUGCUAGGAGCAGAGCUGAACCCACAUCUCACGCAGACCUUUGGAAUGUCUCUCCAGGAACACUGACAAUAAUCCCAGAACAAACAGCAGUGUAGAUGGCUCGCGGCGCAACCCAGAGCUCAGUUGCAAAUACGCAUCCCAGUGUUUAGAAACUGACCCCACUCCUAGUGAAGGAAGAGAUUUCAGUGAAAAAGAUAAAGUGUGAUGCUGAAUGAGGAGAUAAAUCAACUAAGAAAAAACAAACAAACGAAAGAAUGUGUAAGUGUAUAAAAUACCAAGGAUGAAAAAUAUGUGCUUGGGGGCAACCCCACAAGCUAAGAUCAGCUAUUGGUGCGGUACUGCCAUGAACCUACACAUAUUUUAAAUGUAUUCAAGUGUAUUGUAUUCCACAAUAAAGCCUUCAGUUUUGUUAUCCUUUCCUCGAGUUUCAUUAUGUCUUUUAAAAUGUCCCUCUUUUAUUUUCUUUGUUAUUUUAUCUUUUAUGGCCAAAUUGCCUGAUGGCCAAUCAGGUGUGCAAUGAAAAAGUCUACAGCUUAGAAAAAGAAACAGUACUUAAGGCAAAAAUACUGGAUGCAGUUUAGAACAAAUGGAAGAAAUUUUGACCUCCCAAUUUGCAAUACUUCGGGUGAGACCAUCUGUACGCGCACCAGUUUUUGCCGUGUAGACACAGAGGCGUCUUUGUGGUCUGUGGGGAAUCUGCUUUUGAGUGUCUGCUUGGGAGAAUGUUCAUCAAUAAUCCUACACAGAGCGGAUUGGUUAAGGUGCUUCAGAUCCAGGGCACCGGUGGAAUGGUCCAGUGAGGGGUUUCAGGCAUUGAUUUCCAAAAAGAGCUUGUGCAACCCUUGUUCAAAUGUUCCGACAGGCUGCCUAAGGGUGAUAUGCUAACUAACUACUUGUAGCUUCUAAAAAACAUGCUAAAAGAUCAUGACUGACCUACAAGGAAAAUGUGAAUGCGUCAUGAUGGGGGCAUGGAGCCCUUUCCCCAGACCGUCUUAAGUGGAGGGGACAGUCUGCCUCUCGGACCAGUCAUACCUACUACUCUGUGGAACAAAGAGUAGAAAUUUUUCUGGUGAAUUUUCCACUUUUCAUUCAUAAGCUUCUAGAGCUGGUAAGUAGGCUCUACGUAGCCAAACCAAAGGGGUGUAUUUUGCUUUAGACAGAAAGCUGCUUAAGUCUAUUAAUUUUCUAAUUUGGGUCCUGGGAUGCAUGUGAGAAUUGACAGUCUGCGAGGCUGUAAAAGAGCACUUGAUAGCAUAGCUCAGUCUGUACAUCCUCUCAGUACAGAUUCUAACGUCUGUGUGCAAGUUGGCGGCGGGGGCGGGGGGGAAAUACGAUUGACUCCUCAUCAUAUUUGAAGGAGAAGUUAUCUUAACAAAAUAUUCCUCAAUAUUAAUUCUGGACCGAGGAAAAUACUACACAUCUGUUCAUAAGAUGUCUUUCUCACUGUUUGCCUUUGUAAAGGCCUUUAGGCUAUUUCCUAUUCAGUUUAUUCCCUAAACUGGUGAGAAAUGUACUUUUCCUUGGCCAGGGUCCAUACGGACCUGCAGUCUGCAUCAGAACCGAGAAAGACAUGUCCACCGCUUAUUUCAGGAAAACAAUCACGCCUGAAAAAUCAAACUCAAGUAUUCCGGCAAAAUGAUGCAUUUUUGAAAAGGAGAGCUUAGGAGAAAGCCCAGAAGCCUAUUAUUGUAAGGGCAUAUUCUAAUGUCCCAGCCUACUUAGCCUGCGGUUUCUUUAACAAAGAUGAUUCAAGUAAUUGACUCAAAAUUGUAUUUUAAGAUGUGCUCAAGAGUGACUUUUAAAAAAUACUUUGUGAAUGACAUUUUAAGAGAAAAUUUUAAAACUUGGUAGGGUGUUUCAUUUUUUUAUUUCUUUGUUGAUGGUUCCUGGAUGUGGAUGUUUGGACCGACUUUGUAGUAAAACCAGCAACGUGUUUGUUGCUUUACUGAUGCAUCAGAUUUCAAAAAAUUACAAACUGCAUAAAAUACCUGUGAAGACACCGCAGUUUCUCUUUGAACAAUUAAAUCAACAGCUUAAAAUAGCAUAGCAUAGACACAGUGGGAAAAGGAAUUUAAAAAAUUGUCCUGCUGACAUAAAAGUAAAACCAGACAUUCUUUUACAAGCAUGAGCACAGAGAUGCAAGAGACCUUGUGUGGUCUGACCCGAUGGCUAUUUCCUACUUCAGCUCCACAGUGUGCAAAAUUCAGCCAGGCAUUCAGAGGAAUAUAUACGGACUCGCUUAAUAUUGGUUAAAAUAGUAUGUAAAGCAUUAUUGAUACCAUAGGAACACAGACAAUAUUGGUUAAAUAUCAGUUUGGUGUCUAUAGUUUAAUAGUAAAAAAUAAAUUUCAAAUAAAUGAUUUUAAUCACCUUUAUGACAAUAAGAAAUUGGAUAAACUUUUUUUGAGUUUCUUAAUAGCCACCUCUUUUGAAAAUGACAAUCCACCCCCCCAACUCUCAAAACAAUGUUCCAUUCAAACAAUGACCAUGUCAUAGAUGAGUAAUUUAUUCUGCCUUAAUGGUUAAUUGCAGAAAUUGCUGAGUUUUAUACUUCUGUCUUACUAUGAAUUUAAUAUCAGAGUCUAGAUUUAAUUGUUUUUAUCUUUGGCCUAUAUCCUUGGAUUACCGAGAAUGAGAAUUUCAGUAUUUACGUGAAAAUAUUCUAUUUAAGGUAGGCUGACCAUUUUAAACUAUUCAGAUUUGGAAAUUUUCUAUUAUCAACAACUGUACCAUAGAAAUCAAUCCUUGCCUACUGAGAAAAUUUUAAAAACCAAGAAGGCAAGCAUAAUGUGUAAAAUAUUGCUUUCAUAAGAAUGACAUAAUGGGAAAUAUGAUGAGAAUCCACUUAAAGCAGUGACUGAUUGUGUCCAUUGGUGUCUAAUUAUUAUUCCAAAAUCUGGUGCUAAUGAUGAGCUUCCAUUUGAAUUAUGUUGUUGGGAAAAAUGUGAACAGAAUUCACAUACGCUGUAUUUUUCUAAGUGAAGCACCAUUAAGACGAAUAAAUCAAUUGUUUUUGUAUUGGUUUAAAGAAAAGAAAAUAGCUCUGGGGCACAAAUGAAGUUAUUUAUACCGCUCUGUUUUUUGCCUCACCUCCUUGAGAUGCACUUGGAGAAGCUGGAGUUAUGCAGAGGAAUCGACUGUGAUUAAAGUGUCCUCUUCUCAUUCCACGUCCCCUCCUUCUAAGGUUCUGGGACCAGCAAACUUCAUCCUGGAUGGCAGAUCGGCAUGGUGGUCCAGCCAUGAGAUGCCACUCCUGAAAUCAGGUGAUGCCUGGCAACGGGGAGCUGGACCUGCUUGUCCCUUUAUGCUACCCCCACAUCCAUCCUUGUGUCCAUCUACACACAUGCCAGGGGGAUGGAGCAUCGGCAUGAUUAUCUGAAGAAGUUAGUCUAAAAACACGACAAGCACAGCAUUCCAUCUUAAUCGGAAAAUUGGAAAAAAUAACCUUAAAGAAAGGAAAAGUAAGACCCUAACAUACUGCAUAAAUUUCUUUCAGAAUUUAAAGUUGUGUCAAUCGGGCCAUGGCAGAAUAAACCCAAGAUGAAAAGAUUUGAGUCUCGCUGUCGUUUUACGAUUACCAUGCAAGAAUUAUGAUCAGAUUUUUCACAGUAUUUGUAGAGCCUGACGAGUCAGAUUCAACUAAUCCUAUAAUUGUUAUUAAACAUUCUCCAUCUCCUCUCUGCCUUGGAGUUCAUCUGUCUUAGUACCUCUGCUGUUCAGUCCUGAAUAAGAGGAGCUUCUCUCAUAGUUCUUGCCAAGUCCAAUCUAACCUGCUGCUUCAGGGCCUCCUUGCCGGUGUCAGUUGUACUGAAAAUGGUCACAGGAUGCUGAGACCCGAUCCCUUCGGCGUCCAGGGGGUGUGGGGCCCAAGUCUUUGGGCUGGAGCUCUGCAGGUGUGCGCAGUGACGUGCCUUUGUUCCCAUGCGCUGCUGCCCAAAUUCUGAUGCACUACGAGGGAGAGACGUGGGAAGGAGCGUCCCAGACGCUCUCCUCCUCGCCUCCACUGGAAAUGGGCCCAUCUCCAGUGCUCAGUGUCCACACUGCCUCCUCUCUGGGCCAUCACGGCACGGUCAGGACAUCCAGGGCUAGCAUCCCACACAUAGAAGCUGCCACCUCUUCCUAACUCGGUACAUUACCAACAAUGAGAAGAAAGCAAAGCAGAGAGAAAUGCCCAACUUCAAUUGAAGGGAGCAAGCUCUGCAAAUUCACAUCUCGCUGAUUGAUUCCCACUGUGGCUCAGCGGGUUAAGAACUCAACACCGUGUCCCUGAGGAUGCUGGCUUGAUCCCUGGCCUUGCUCGGUGGGUUAAAGGAUCUGAUGUUGCUGCAAGCUUUGGUGUAGGCUGCAGAUGUGGCUUGGAUCUGGCAUUGCUGUGGCUGUGGUGUAGGCUGGCAGCUGUAGCUCUGAUUUGACCCCUAGCCUGGGAACAUCCACAUGCUGCAGGUGCAGCCUUAAAAAGAGAAAAAUAAAUAAAUAAAAACACUUAUUAAAAAACCACACUGAUUGAGGAAGGUUGUCUGUCAGUAGGAAGUGAGACCAGCCGAGGUGGACAGGGAGGAUGCUUGAGGCAGGGGAUGGCAGACAGGGCUCCCUGUUACUGUUGACACACCUGGGAGCCACCACAUCACAUGCUGUGAAAUACUCCUUGAGAAGCUGCAUGGAA
rnacentral:lncRNA from 1 species